rnacentral:pre_miRNA from 1 species
CGAGUACUCCCUCCGUCCGAAAAAACUUGUCAUCAAAAUGGACAAAAAGGGAUGUAUCUAGAACUAAAAUAUAUCUAGAUACAUCCCCUUUUAUUCAUUUUGAUGACAAGUAUUUCCGAACGGAGGGAGUACUAU